UCCCUGGUGGCUCAGAGGUUAAAGCGUCUGCCUCUGAUGUGGGAGACCCGGGUUCGAUCCCUGGGUUGGGAA
rnacentral:tRNA from 1 species